rnacentral:rRNA from 1 species
UACAGAGGAGCCAAGCGUUGUCCGGAUUGACUGGGCGUAAAGCGCACGCAGGCGGACGCGCGCGUGGGGUGUGAAAUCUGGCCGCUUAACGGCCAGGCGCCAUCCCAUACGGCGCGUCUGGAGCAAUGCAGAGGUCGGUGGAAUUGCCGGUGUAGUGGUGAAAUGCGUAGAGAUCGGCAGGAACACCCAGGGGGAAACCAGUCGACUGGGCAUCUACUGACGCUGAGGUGCGAGAGCGUGGGGAGCGAACCGG